GAUGAACGCUGGCGGCGUGCCUAAUACAUGCAAGUAGAACGCUGAAGGAGGAGCUUGCUCUUCUGGAUGAGUUGCGAACGGGUGAGUAACGCGUAGGUAACCUGCCUGGUAGCGGGGGAUAACUAUUGGAAACGAUAGCUAAUACCGCAUGACAACAGUUAUUGCAUGAUAACUGUUUAAAAGGGGCAACUGCUCCACUACCAGAUGGACCUGCGUUGUAUUAGCUAGUUGGUGAGGUAACGGCUCACCAAGGCGACGAUACAUAGCCGACCUGAGAGGGUGAUCGGCCACACUGGGACUGAGACACGGCCCAGACUCCUACGGGAGGCAGCAGUAGGGAAUCUUCGGCAAUAGACGGAAGUCUGACCGAGCAACGCCGCGUGAGUGAAGAAGAUUUUCGGAUCGUAAAGCUCUGUUGUAAGAGAAGAACGAGUGUGAGAGUGGAAAGUUCACACUGUGACGGUAUCUUACCAGAAAGGGACGGCUAACUACGUG
rnacentral:rRNA from 1 species